GGGCCUGGGCACCAGAGGCCACGACAGGCAGCCACCGCCCCAGGCCACUGAGGACCCUGAACCUGGAGGUCAGAGUCAGGACGUGAGGGUCAGGGAACACGCACUUGCAUCCCCGCCCCCUGUUCACGGCCGUGUGGCCUGGAGCCCCGUCACCAGCUCCCUCCCUGGACGGGGGACAGGCCUCACGCAGGGAUCACUGUGCAUCUGGGCUCCUUGAUCCGAAGCACCCAGACCCGGGCGCGCCCUCAGUGGCGCAUCGCUCUCCUGGGGAAAACAGGCAAAAAUAAACAGACUGAAAAGGAAGUAGGCGCAAACCCAGUGCGGGGCGGCGGGAGGUGAUGAAUCUCGCCUCUCCCGGUCUGGAGUUAAUGAGGAGCCUGAGUCAGGAGGCAGAUGGGACCGACCCAUCCGCUGUGCUGCUGGAAAUGAGAAGCUGCUGGAGACGUUCUGACUCAGAACCAGAUGGCCCCUGCUCCAUCCCCUGCAUUCAAGAUGGAAGUGAAGGACCUUGAGAUGAGACGCCCUGGAUGCAGGUGAGACUCAGCACCAGUGAUAAGUGUCCUUGUGGAAAGAGGGAAGGCCCCAUGAAAGCAGAGUCAGGGACGGCAGCUACAGGCGGCUCUGAGCCCCCGUUCCCAGCGGUUUGUUGCAGCAGCUUCGGAUGCUCCAUGGAUACCAAGGCACGCGAGGGAAGCAAACCUACCAGCACAGUCGAACUUGCCUCGGCGCCAACACAGCUUAACCUUCAGGGCCCCUCACUUGCGAAGACCCUCUUCUGCAGCCCAGUUCCUGUUUGCGUAUUCCUUUUGUCAAAGGGGCCCCCUCCGCAGAUGGGGAAAGUAUUGGGUCCCACACACUCUGGCUCCCUCCCUGUUGCCACCAGGGUACAGCACACAGCCUGCAGUAUAGACGCUUCCGUGGGUUUUCUGUCAUCUGAACAUCCACCCAGCCAGUCCUCCGUGUCUUCAGCCAAGCUGGAUUAUCGAGUCCCUGCUGUCUCGGGAUGUAACUUGGAAAGAGAACCAGAGACAAUUUGGAGGCAAAGUAAAUGGGCUGCAGCAAGAUGCGCAUGAAGAAAGAGAGAGGCUGAAAGGGGAACCUGAGCAGAGAGUGGUUGUUCUACCUGGAAAUCAUGACAGCCCCACCAAGGAGAUAACCUCCAGUCUGGGCUUUUAAGGAUGGGUAGGAGUUCGCCAGGAGACAAGGGGGAGGACAGCUUAGGUCGGGGGCACUGUGCGGGCAAAGGUGUGGGACAGCCCCUGGCCCUGGGGCAGCAGUGUGCGACAGCCUGCCUGGCCCAUGGGGCCUGCAGGAUGAAGAGAGAGGGAAGGGCCGGGGCUGGGCCUGGAGUCCUGGGGCAGGGAGAAGUAACAGGUGUGAGGUCCGCAAACGUGGCAGCUUAAAAUGAGAAGAAUCUCCUUCCUCUGAAGGCUGGGGCAGGGGGUGGGGGUGAGGUGUUUCCAGGCCCCUUCCAGCUGCUGGCUGUUGUGGCAGUUCCAUUGUCCAGCCCCUUGCAGCUGCACCCUCCAGUCUCUGCCUCCCUCAUUACAGGACCUUCUCCCUGUGUCUCUCUGGGUCCCUUCGCCUUUUUUUUUUUUCCAGCUGCACCCACAUCAGGCAGAAGUUCCCAAGCCAGGGGUCGAAUGCGCUCCACAUCUGUAAGUAACCAGAGCCACUGCAGUGACAACGCCAGAUCCUUAACCCACUGAGCCACCAGGGAACUCCCCUUCUCCUCUUCUUAUGAGGACACCAGCCAUAGUAGAGACGUUACUAAUCAGGUAAUUCAAUUACAUCUGCAAGGACACCAGAGUAUUUCCAAGUAAGGUCACGUACACAGGGGCCUGGGCUCAGGGCUUCAAUGACCUUUCUGGGGACACAGUUCAACCCACAACAGGGAGGAGGAACCACAGGACUUGGUACUGAUUAGAUGGACCUUAUGGCCUGAAUGGUCUACACGGCCUCCCUCCCACGGCACAUGUUGAAAUCCUGAUAGCCUUGUGACCGCGUCGGAGACAGGGCCUUUAGGAGGUGAGGACCGCGGCUGUCUGCAAGCCAGGAAGAGAGCUCUCAGCAGAAACCUCGUGCUGCCAAAACCUUGAUGUUCCAGCCUCCAGAACCGUGAGAAGAAAGUUUCUAUCCUUAAGCCCCCAGUGUGCGGCAUUUUAUCACGGCAGGCUGAGCUAAGACAAUGGGGUUGGGGCUGGAUGAGCAGGCAGCAGAGCGGAACUGAGGAGGAAUUCCCCAGGCUCGGAGGAAGCUCUGACCCACAGGUGCUGGUCCCGAUGGCCCGGCCAGGAGCUGAGGUUUUAGGGAGGAACUGGACUCGGCCCAAGGCUUCCAGGAGCUGCAGGUCAGGCAGGGAGUCAGGAAGGGGCCCAGGCCUGCCAGGUACAAUGAUGCAGGUGGUGGCUCAGGGACAAGGGGCCAGGACAAUCGAAGCGGCCCCAAGGGGCAGGGAGGCCCCAGGAAGGGGCCAUCAGAACAGUCAAGAACCCGGUCGUUGGCACUUCCUCCGGCCUAACUACUCAGCGUUGUCUCUGCAGCAGCUCUGGAUCAGUCCCUGGCCUUGGAACUUCCACAUGUCGAGGGUGCAGCCAAACACUUUAAAGAAAGAACUCUUGCCUGCUCUGACUGAUGGCUCCCAGGCCAGGGAUCAGAUACGAGCUGCAGCUGCAACCUGCGCUGCAGCUGCAGCAACGCUGGAUCCUUCAACCCACCAUUCAUUCUUAUGCCGCUUAAAUGUCACCUCCACUACGUGCAGAAGCUCGAUGGACUUGAGCACAUAGAUCGGGCAACAUUUGGGGGGUUUGGCCUCACAGAUGGUCGGCUCUCUGGGUUGGCAAGUUCCUGCCUGGCUUCCUUUGCUGUUGUCACGGAGUUGCCGUUGCCAUGGCGUCUGUGUGUGCACGGGGGACCAUCGCGCAUCUCCUCAGCUUCGGGAGCACGCAUCCAGAGCCUGGGAAGACUGCGGAGAGAGAAGAAGGAGGCGUGGCGUGUGGGAGGGAGUCCACCUGGGCGCCUCGUGUUGACGGAGCCGAGAAAAGAGGGGUGGUACUGUGCCGCCCCUGAACCAGAAGGGAGGGAUGGAGGCAGAGGUGCCUGCAGGGCCUGCCGGGCCCUCAGCUGUAGAGGCCUGGGGAGGGGGGGUCAACCGAGGGCCUUCUAUCUGGCCUUCUGCUGCCCCUCCUUCGCAACCACUUCCUGCCACUGUCCCAAAGUCACGGCAAAUGCAGCCCAGGAGUGAAAUACUGCCGAUUUAAUCUGUGCCUCUGAUAAACAAAUGAACAAGUGU
rnacentral:lncRNA from 1 species